rnacentral:rRNA from 2 species
CACCGCGGUCAUACGAGUGAGCCCAAGCGGAUAAUCAACGGCGUAAAGAGUGGUUAGGGACCCUCGCGACUAAAGCUAAACGCCCGCAGAGCCGUUAUACGCAUCCGACAGCAUGAAACCCCACCACGAAAGUGGCUUUAACCCAACCCGAACCCACGACAGCUAUGACACAAA